rnacentral:rRNA from 1 species
AAUUUGAAAUCUAUCUCUUUCAGAGGUCGAGUUGUAAUUUGUAGAAGAUGCUUCGGGUGUGGUCCCGGUCUAAGUUCCUUGGAACAGGACGUCAUAGAGGGUGAGAAUCCCGUAUGUGACUGGGUACCUAUGCUCAUGUGAAGCUCUUUCGACGAGUCGAGUUGUUUGGGAAUGCAGCUCAAAAUGGGUGGUAUAUUUCAUCUAAAGCUAAAUAUUGGCCAGAGACCGAUAGCGCACAAGUAGAGUGAUCGAAAGAUGAAAAGCACUUUGGAAAGAGAGUUAAACAGUACGUGAAAUUGUUGAAAGGGAAGCGCUUGCAAUCAGACUUGCACUUGGUGUUCAUCGGGGAGUCAUCCCCGUGUACUUCAUCAAGUUCAGGCCAGCAUCAGUUUGGGUGGUUAGAUAAAGGCUUAGAGAAUGUGGCCCUCUUCGGGGGGUGUUAUAGCUCUAGGUGCAAUGUAGCCUACCUGGACUGAGGACCGCGCUUCGGCUAGGAUGCUGGCGUAAUGGUUGUAAGCGACCCGUCUUGAAACACGGACCAAGGAGUGUACCUAAUAUGCGAGUGUUUGGGUGUUAAACCCAUACGCGUAAUGAAAGUGAACGCUGGUGAGAACCCUUAAGGGUGCAUCAUCGACCGAUCUUGAUGUCUUCGGAUGGAUUUGAGUAAGAGCAUAUUGGGUGCGACCCGAAAGAUGGUGAUCUAUACGUGAAUAGGGUGAAGCCAGAGGAAACUCUGGUGGAGGCUCGCAGCGGUUCUGACGUGCAAAUCGAUCGUCAAAUUUGCGUAUAGGGGCGAAAGACUAAUCGAACCAUUAAGGAAUAGACCAAGCUCUAGGUGGUUGAGAAACCCCACUAAGGGUAUUAGUCCUGGAGACAGGGCGACAUUGUCAAAUUGUUCGGGGACCACCCGCUAAAUUACACACUACCGCAGCAGUGCUGAAAGGCCUGUGCGCACUAGGGGUAGCGCCUCUAGGGAUGGUAAUAAUGUGUGUAUAGGGUAUAUCCGCAGCGAAGUUCUUAAGGCCUCGGCUACGAAUCGCGUUCACAGACUAGACGGCAAUGGGCUCC